rnacentral:lncRNA from 1 species
UCUGUUCCUCAGGAGAUUAUCUUGCCCACUUCCUGGAGAAUCUGCAUUUCAUCUUGGAGUUCUAUUAGAGGAAAGCGAUGACACUUCUCACAUGACUCCAGCCCUGCAAUUUUCUAGAUCUUAAUAUCAGCUUUUACCUUGAGUCUACUUAAACCCAAGGGAACUUGAUUCAUUGGAACCUGCCAACAUAAAGGUUGAAAAACAUUACAAGAAUAGACUUAAAAAAAAAAUCAGUUUUCUAAAACUAUUCAGAGAAUAGACUAUCAUUAAAACGAAGGUCCUCAAGACUGUGAAAUUCUCCUUCAAGAUCAUGAUUUAUUAACUAUCUUUCACUGGCGAAUAUACAGUCUUCUACUGUGAUGUCUCACUUGAAAUGCCAAGGCCACCUUUCAGGAAACAGCACACAACACAGAUCAACCGUGAAGGUGGAGGGAACUAUACAAGAGUGUGAACACUGGGAGGCAGGAAUUUGGAUCACCCUGAAGACUGUCUACCACAGUGUCUAUAAAGGUAAGAUGUAUGUGUGUUUUCUUAUUUUGAGAUUCUAGGUUUUGUUAAUACUCUAA